rnacentral:lncRNA from 1 species
GUUAUUGGAGUUCUGGAGAGUGUGCUGGGUUUUGUGCUCAGCUCCGUGUCUUUCAGUUUCUCCUUCCAGCUGCUGCAAUCACAGCAGGUGUGAGUUGGAAGUUAUCUCGGCUGCUUGUGAUUCAGUUAAUUGAUUCCCUCAGCGUUUCUACCAUUUCAGUUAUUUCAUGGCUAGAUCUUCCAGCUUGUCACCCUUUUGUUCCACCUUGGUUCAGGAACGCAAGUGUUGCUACAUCUUGUUUGGAGACAUUACAUCUCCAUAGGGAAGGUCAAGUUGGGAAGAACUUUGAGGAAAAAGUAAAAGAGGACAAGGAUGCUACCAGACACAGAGUUAAGAAAAAGAACCAAAUGGUAAUCAACUCCACCACUCCGCCCCAUGAGGAGAAACAAACUGGUGUUAGCUGAAUGUCGGAGGAUUUGAGAGGCUUCAGCUGAUGAGAUGAUGAGCAGCAGCUGCACGAGUGUCAAGAUGGAGCUCCACGCACAGAUACUGGGACAACUGCCUCACAAUUUACUAAAGAAAUGAUAUUAAGAUCAACCUUAUUAAAGAAAUAAAAAGUAAUAUUUAAGAAAUAAAACCAGGUGUAUAUCAUUUUGACAACAUAAAUAAUCCUGUCACACUUUAAGUCUUUAUUUAGGCUCAUUUUAUUUAAGAAUUUCUGUUUUUUUCACAGUUAAAACAUAAAAAAAAACAAAAAUUGACAUUAAAAUGGACAACCAACAUCUGCUUUGUCUAUUUUUUUUUUUGGUCUUUAACAAAUAUCAUUAAAAUACAAGCGUAGUUACAGGAGGCGAUCGCAAAAAUGUAAAGAUAAUUAUUAGGGAUUGGUCAUAUAUGAUAUACUCCCAUUAAUUGAAUGAAUUUAGUUAAAUAAACCAAAAACUGUUUUAGGAUUAUAUUUCAUUUUAUAGUAUGUCCCAUAAACGUUUCUUGACAUAAACCAUUUUUAUUUAUAUAAUAUGGUCUAAAUGACUACAGUUUUGUCAAAAACACAUCUCAAUCCAUUUCUUCCACUGCAAAAGAAAACUUCUAAGAUUAUAUUUGGUUAUUAUAACACGUUCCUUUGGUGAAUCAGACAUCAGGAUGACUUCCAUUUGUUGCCCUUUAUUCAAAUGCAUUCUCUGUGGAAUCUUGAAUAAUGAAUCUUGUUUCAUUAUCUUUUACCCCCAGCAGUCUUACACUGCUGGCUUUUGUUAUUUUACUUUGGGGUUGGACCUGUCUUUAUUUGCGGGCUUGCUUUGUUUGUUUUGUUAGAUCUCAUUAGGCAGCUUUAGCAGGACUUAUUUUCUGUUUGGGUAGGGAUAUAAUGCCUUUGUCUUGCAUUUCUUUUUUUUUAACCAGCACAGCAAUUUCUUUUUCCUUUACAAGACACGGUUUCUUUUUCUUUUUGUCAAUAAACGGUGUUCCUCAUCUUCCUGGUGUCCAGUUUCAUGUUAUGGUCCACUUUUUGGUCUUUUUCCGAGACUGAGUGAGGCCGGUAUUGGGGCCAUAAUAGGGUCACCCUGUAGUAAUGCAGCAAGAGCAAACACAUGGAAAUUACAUUACAACUAUAAGUGAGGCACUUUACUGGAGUUCAAAAGUUAUGUAGAAA